UACGUAGGGUGCAAGCGUUGUCCGGAAUUAUUGGGCGUAAAGAGCUCGUAGGCGGUCUGUCGCGUCUGCUGUGAAAACCCCGGGCUCAACUCGGGGCUGGCAGUGGGUACGGGCAGGCUAGAGUGCAGUAGGGGAGACUGGAAUUCCUGGUGUAGCGGUGAAAUGCGCAGAUAUCAGGAGGAACACCGGUGGCGAAGGCGGGUCUCUGGGCUGUUACUGACGCUGAGGAGCGAAAGCGUGGGGAGCGAACAGGAUUAGAUACCCUGGUAGUCCACGCCGUAAACGUUGGGCGCUAGGUGUGGGUCCCAUUCCACGGGGUCUGUGCCGCAGCUAACGCAUUAAGCGCCCCGCCUGGGGAGUACGGCCGCAAGGCUAAA
rnacentral:rRNA from 1 species